GUCGUUGUAGUAUAGUGUAAGUAUUUCCGCCUGUCACGCGGACGACCCGGGUUCGAUCCCCGGCAACGGCG
rfam:Vigna radiata var. radiata cultivar VC1973A chromosome 1, whole genome shotgun sequence